AUGGAUUCGGGAUUAAAUUGUCCUUUGUGUGCAAGCAACAGCAGAGAGACCAGAGAGCACCUUUUCUUCAACUGUGCAUUUGCUCGCCGCUCCUGGAGGCAGGUUGGCAUAAAUUGGACCCAAAAUCAUGAUGUGGCUGCCAUGUUCCGCUCGGCUAAACAAUCUUUUACUGGCCCUUGUUUCUUUGAGGUGGCAACUUGUGUUCUGUGGAAUGUGCGGAAACAACGCAACGCUUAUAUAUUUCAGCAUCAGACCCCUUCUUUGGCUACUUGGCGUGUGCUGUUUAAGAGAGAUAUCGGUCUCAUUGGUCAUAGGGUUAAGCCCCAUCUUCAAGCUCUCUGCUUUCUGCUUGGUUGA
rnacentral:rRNA from 1 species